rnacentral:tRNA from 1 species
UAAAAACUAGUUAAAUAUAUAACAUUAGCUUGUCAAGCUAAAAUUACCAAAGUGUUUUUAA